ACAGUCAGAAGCGCAGGAGGGUGAGAGAAUUCACCAGAGCCAGAGCGGGGAGCAGAGCAGGCAGAAGAACCGAAGUACACUGCUGAGGGGAGCAGCGGGCAGCAGGAGAGGUCUGCGCACCAUGUGGGACCCUCCUGCGGUGGCCGGGGAGCAGCCGGGGAUCGAACCGGCGCUGCAGAGGCUGCGGGCAGCUUCACAACCCAGCGCUCAACCGCUGUGCCACCGGGGAGGCCCCCAUUGCUCUGGAUUUUAACCAAACAGUUUUCUGUUUUUCAGUGCAUGAGGGAAAAGGUGGCCAUCUGGUUCUCCAAGAUCUGCCAAAUCAAACACUGAAGAGUUCCUGUAUCACCGUCACAAAGUUCUGGAAGAAAGACUCUGGCUUAGCCUAUCUUGGGUUUAUUUAUUUAUUUAUACAAGCACUGGGUACAGUCCGAAGCUCAGGAGGGUGAGAGAAUUCACCAGAGCCAGAGCGGGGAGCAGAGC